GAGGAGUGGGCAGCUCUCGGAUGAAAAGCUUCAAGAGACCAGCGGCGUCCACCGGUCGCACCGCUGACCAAUCGAACCCCUCCGGACACCUGUCUAACUCUCUGCGCAGUGUUACAUCACAUUUGAGAAAAGAACGGAAGGUCGUCUCUCAUUCGGGGAGGGAAAGCGGAAACUGAGCCCGGAGAACGUCACGGCAUUCUGUCAGCGUCUCGUCCACUUGAUUAGAGUCUCUGGCGAGCGGUACAAGAAGAUGAGUUUGGCGUAAAGCUCCUCCUCCAGCUCCAGCUCCCCCGUCUCACGCACCUGCAAGACAAGGAGCCAAUCAGGUGGCGCCACUCGCCGGUCGGCCUUGACCACGACGGCCGGGAAGCCGCUUUUGCUUUGCUUGAAGAGACACAGCCUUCUGAAGAACCGCUCACAGAUGGCGAAACGGAACACUCAGGUUGAUUCCUGAUUCUCUGGAACUCUGCAUCAUCUGUUGCUGGUAGUACACAUGGAUGGCCUCUCUGGACGGCACCUGACCCUGAGAACACAAGAGUAAGCAGGUGGCGGGCCAUCAUGGUUGCGGCCCUUGAGAGCUACCUGCUUGGCCUGCUGGGUCAGCAUGCAGCGCUCCAUGCGCAGCACGGUGGAGAUGUCCACGUGUUCGCGACACAAACCACCCAGCCAAGCGGUCAGCGAGUCCAGCAGAGCCGACAACACAACCCAGCAGAAGCGAAGAACGUUGGAGGCCCGACGCAGGACCGUAUCUUCAAUGCAAAACAUGAUAAUGUUCCGGAAGGUUCCUGGCCUGGCCACCGUUGCUUCUCCGACCUACCCGCUCCCUCCUCCUUGUCCUUCUCCACGUCCUCCUCCGAAUCCUCCAUCACUUCAGUAGUGGCGCAAUCUAGAAGGAUGAGCCAGCGACGACGUGGUAGAGCGUCACGAGCGUCAGCGGGCUGACAAAGUGAAACCAGCUGAGCAGCGGGUUCACCUGCAUCCUCCAGGGAGCAUCGCAGUCCGCCGACACCAGAGGCACCAGGCCGAACACGCUGCGGCAUCAAUCGAGCCAUCCAUCAGUCAAGGUUAGGGUUUGCGCGCAUAUGAUGCUGCUACGCUACGGGUGUUGUUUGCAAUGGCCUUUUCAUGUUAGCAUGAACUAAGGGACCUGAAUUCUCUUUUGUUUUCCGUGUCAGCUUUACAGUAAACCUUAAGUGACCGUGACAAAUGAACAUCUCCGCAUCUUAUUUGGUGCCAGGGAGAAUGUCCCCUUUUCAUUUCCUCAAAGUGGUUAUCCGAUAAGUCUCCGAUUUCUAGGAAGGAAUACUUUCAUUAAAGAUGGUUCAAGUGGUUUGGGGGGAAAACCUGUUGUCAUGAUGUGUGUUGGUGGACUUUUGCAUUCUUUUCAAAAGAUUUCAUGUUCUGUCUUGUUUGCCUAUACAUGCCACCUGUUCUGGUGUCAACCAAUCGGCUCGCUCCAUGUCUUGUCUACCUGUGACUCAUUGUCUCGUCACUUGUUUUCUAUUUAGUUCCCAGCCUUCCUUGGGUUUGUGUCGUCUGAAUUUGGCAUGAUUUGUGUUCGAUAUAAGGCUGGGUUUAAAAACAAACCAAUCAAAUUGAUUUUCCUUACGUAUGGUUGGAAAACCCGUGUUCCAUAUAUCUCCGGAGUCAAUGUGGUGAGCAAGCAUUCUCCCGUGAAAAUCAUACAAACGAAGAAUUAACUCACUCAUAUCGAUAGCUAAUGAGUUGCUUUCUUUAUAGGACAACCAAGUACAUGUGUAUCGAUGUGAGGAGAUGUUCUCCACUCAUGCUGAGCUCAGGUAUGAGGUACUUGAGGGGCGGCUUUGGCGUACGCAACAAGUCCAGACUGCAAAAGUCCUCAAAAGAUGGUCAAAGAUUGGCGCCGUUGCAACUCGCCUGACGAUUCAGUCGCAGCCAAAAAGAAGCUGUUGCAGCAUCUCCACAAAUGAUCUAAUGACCAAGUUCAACAUGCAACAAUGUAGAAAGAGCGCCUUGGAGAAGACUGCCUUCUACUCUCUCCUGUUAUCGCUGGUGAAUUAAAAGAACAAAAAUAUAUUC